GGUUAAUCGGUUAGAAUUGCCAACCCUAAUUACAUAUAAUGUUUAUUGUAUAUCAUUUUGGAGGUUUGCAUUAUUGAGUCUAUUAACGAACAAUAUACUUGAGUUUAUAAGAUUUAGAGAAUAAUGUAUUGAUUUUAUUCAUUUAGACUGCUAGGUACUUAUAUAGUAGGAAUAGCUCUAGAUUAGGUAAUUACAUAGGCUCUACCUACCCUAUCAUAAUUCCACUAAUAUGGGAUUCUACUUACUAUAAUUAUAGGCUAAGAUUAGGCUAAUCUCUACAGCUAACAACCGACUAUCUAAUCAUAAUUCUACACUCCCCCUCAAGCUUGGUUGUAAAUAUUUUUAAAACCAAGCUUGCACUGAAGCUUCUCAAACAUGUCCCGUGAGAGUGCUUUGGUUAGAAUGUCGGCCGUCUGUAGUCUGGAAGGAACAUAUAACACGUCAAACUCCUUGCUUCUCACCUUCUCAAAAAUAAAUUGUCUAUCCAAUUCAACGUGUUUAGUACGAUCAUGGUGAACCGGAUUUCUUACAAUACUUAGUGAUGCUUGACUGUCACACGUUAGUUUUACCGAUUCUUGAUUGCAUUCCCAAUUCCCGGAGGAUUCUUUUCAACCAUACUCCUUCACACAUUCCUUCUGCAAUGCCCUGUAUUCCGCUUCUGCACUGAUCCGAGAAACCACUGAUUGUUUCUUACUACGCCAUGUAACGAGAUUUCCCCAUAUAUAAGUACAAUACCCUGAAGUGGAGCGGCGAUUCGUUAACUCCCCAUCCCAGCUUGCAUCUGUAUACACAGAUAUAACUUGUUCUGAGUGUUUCUGGAAAUAUAAUCCAAUUCCAGGUGUCCCCUUAAGGUCCCUCAGAAUUCUCAUUACAGCCUCCAUAUGCUCUUCGUUUGGAUUGUGCAUAUACUGACUCACAAUACUGACAGAAAAUGAGAUGUCAGGUCGAGUGUGAGCUAGAUAUAUUAGCUUUCCUACUAACUUCUGAUAGCUCCCUCUUUCUACAGGGGCUACUUCUGGAUCCUGACCAAACUUUAGAUUAGGCUCCAUAGGAGUACUUACAGGUUUGCAACCACUCAUCCCUGUUUCCUGUAAUAAAUCCAGCACAUAUUUUUUUUGAGAUAAGACUAGGCCUUGAUUUGAUCUAGCUACUUCAAUGCCAAGGAAAUAUUGCAAAUUUUUGAGGUCCUUCAUUUCAAACUCCAGGGAUAAUUUUUGUUUGAGACCCUUUAUCUCCAACUCAUCAUCUCCUAUGAUGAUUAUAUCAUCUACAUAUAUUAUGAGAAUCACACGUUUACCUGACUGGUUUUGCUUGAUAAACAUAGUAUGAUCAGUUUGACACUGAUAGUAUCCCGAACCUCUCACAGCCUGAGAAAAUCUCUCAAACCAGGCUCUAGGUGACUGUUUUAGACUAUACAACGCCUUCUUGAGCAGGCACACUUUUCCUGGUUCAGUAGUGACUCCCCUGGUACAUUCAUGCAGACCUCCUCCUUUAGAUCCCCAUUCAAGAAGGCAUUUUUGAUGUCCAGCUAGUAAAGUGGCCAAUCUAGAUUAACAGCAAGAUUGAGAAGGAUCCUUACUGUAUAUAAUUUAGCUACGGGUGCAAACGUCUCCUCGUAGGCUAUGCCAAAUGACUGAGUAAAUCCUCUAGCCAUAAGCCGUGCCUUGUAUCUCUCUAUUUUCCCUUCAGACGUGUAUUUGAUAGUGAAGAUCCACUUACAAUCAACAGUGGUCUUUCCUGAUGGUAGGGUUGCAAAUAUCCAGGUUUUAUUCCGCUGUAAUGCGCUGAUUUCUUCCAUGACUGCCUUCCUCCAGUGAGGAACUUUCAUAGCCUCCUCUAAUGUUUUUGAAAUCACAAUUGCAUCCACACUACUCACAAACACCUUGUAUUUCUCACUGAGAUUCCUAUAUGAGACCCACCUUUCAAUGGGAUGGUUUGCGCAAGCUCUACUACCCUUCCUCUUUGCAAUAGGGAAAUCCAUUUGAUUUGUACCUUGGAUUUCCUCACUCUGCUCAGUCGUUUCAGUAGAUAUGCCCGAGUCAUUUUCUUGGUAGUCUUCAGAGGCAGGUUCCUCAUUGGUUUCUUGGCUAGUUUGAGUGUGUGAGAUGGCUGUAUUCUUCUUCCGACGCUGAUAAACCAGAAGAUUUGGUUCCUCAUGACUAUCAGUGUUGGUGCAUUCAGGUUCAGAGGCAGAUUCCUUAAGUGGCCCUAGAACUUGACCGGACCAAAGGGUGAUAAUACUCCCAAUAGAGGGCUCUUCUCUAAGACUCUCCCCCUGGGACAGAUAUUGGGAGUAAAAUGGUUGAUGUUCAAAAAAGGUAACGUCUUUGGAAUGAUAGGUUUUCUGACUAGACGGGGAAUAGCACUUGUAUCCACUGUGAUGUGGGGAAUAUCCUAAAAAGACGCACUUAAUAGCUCUAGGAUCAAGUUUAGAGGAUGAACUAUGGUGCACAAACGCUGUGCAGCCGAAGACUCUUAGAGGAAGAUCAGACGCAAUGGCAUGACUAUGAGAGAAUUGUUUUAGGAGUAUGGCUUGAGGUGUUUGGAAGUUUAGGGUUCUACUAGGGAGACGGUUGAUUAGGCAAGUGGCUGUGAGAACUACUUCUCCCCAUAGAGACUUAGGGGUUGUUGCAGCGAACAUAGAUGCUCUGGCUACUUUCAGAAGGUGCCGAUAUUUACGUUCAGCAACUCUGUUUUGCUGAGGGGUAUAAGGACAUGAGCUGCUAUGAGUGAUACCUUGAUUGGUAAGGAAAGUUCCUAAAUUAGUGUUAAAGUAGUCUCUAGCAUUGUCUGUGUGAAGGAGACGAAUAGGUGUUUGGAACUGGAUGGUGAUGUUUCUGUUGAAAUUUUUGAAAAUCUCUGUGGUUUCAGUUUUGGAUUUCAUUAGGUAAGUCCAUGUAAGGCGUGUGUGGUCAUCGAUAAACGUAAUGAACCAGCGAAAGCCAUUAAAGGUGCUCAGCGAACAUGGACCCCAAAUGUCAUUAUGAAUUAUGGAGAAAGGAUGUGAUGGUUUAUAAGGGAUACUACAAUAGACUGUCUUUGUAUGCUUGGAAAGUUGACAAAUAUCACAAUGAAAAGACUUAGAAUUUUUAUUGAUGAGUAACUUUGGAAAUAGUUUUUCAAGGUAGCUAAAACUUGAAUGUCCUAACCGAUAGUGCCAGAGCAUGAUAGGACACUCUAACUGACUCAAUGAGGAAAUUGAAAACACUGACUUUGAAACCUCUUCUCCUUGGAUAGUCUUUAGAAGGUACAAUCCACCACACAACUCAAACUUGCCAAUCGUCUUCUGAGAUCUCUCCUCCUGUAAAAUUCAUUUAAAGGAAUCACACAUCAGUUUACUUUUGAAAUCCUUUGUAAGCUGACUAACCGAAAUGAGAUUGCAGUUGAGUUUCAGAAUGUAAAGGACAGGAAAUAAAAGGGUUGUGGGAGUCAGAUAGGCUGUUCCAACCCUUUCAACCGGGGCCACUGUUCUAUUUGCAAUUCUCACUCCUGCCAGUCCUUUAUGUGGUUUAAUAUUAUGAACAAGUUCCCUUGAACCCGUCAUAUGGUCAGUAGCUCCAGAAUCAAGGAUCCAAUUUGUCUUAAACAGAUUGUGUGUUAGAAAAGCACUAGAAAGACUACCUUGGCUGGCAAAAAGGAGAUUCAGAAGCACCUGUGGAUGAUUUCCUUGCGGUGUAAUGAGACAUCAUCUGCUGGAGGAUUUCCAGUUGCUCCCUUGACAUUUGAGCUAUGGUGUUGGCUUGUUCAGUGGCAGCAUCAUGAGCCUGAGCCUCCCUUUCUGCUUUAGACUUCCAGUCAGCAGGUUUUUUGUGCAACUUCCAGUACUUGGUGUAGCUUCGACCGUCGGAGCUCCCAAUGUAUUGACUUGCAAGUGCAGACCCCUCGGUUGUUGUCUUCGGUUUAGUAAUCAUGAUUCUUCGGCGACUUUCCUCCCAACGAACUUCAGCAAACGCAUCUUUAGCUCUAGGUAAGGGUAUGCGUCCUAUAAUGCUUCCUUUCACUUCAUCUAGCUCUUCGUUGAGUCCAAGGAGAAAUCGAAUGGUCCUUUUUGUUGCCAGGAUCUGUCGAUAAAGUUCUGCAUCCUUCGUGCAGUUCCAGAUGUGCACAUCAUACAUGUCUUGCUGCAGCCAGUACUUGCUUAGUUCAUCAUAGUACUGUGUAACAGUCUUCUCCCCUUGGUUUAGAUUGUGUAGUCGGAUCUCCAAAUCGAGCAGCUCUGCGUUGUUUUCCUAUUUGGAGUAUGUAUGACGAACACUCUCCCAGAUUUCAUAAGCAGUCUUAUGAAGGAGAAACUUCUCUCCGAUUGAAGUGUUCAUGGAAUUAAGCAGCCACGACUGGACCAUGUUGUCCUCAAUAUCCCAGGUGGCGAAUGCUGGAUCAUCCUCGGCUGGUUGAACUGUUUUUCCAGUGAGGUAUCCCUUCUUGCCUUUCCCUAAGAUGAACUUGAGUACUGAUGACGACUAUUGAAGGUAGUUAUCACCUGUGAGUCAAUGAUUGGUGAUACUGCCAACAACGGUGUCCGAGAUGGCAGGAGCUUGAGCUUGAGAUUGAGUGUUGUUCCCUAGCGUUGCGGUUGAACCGGAGAUUACCUCAGAACUGUCCAUGGUUGGAACUUCUUCAAGCAUGAUAGCAGCGAGAGUGAUCGAGAUUGAGGGAGGAAGAAUGGAGAUGGAUCAGAGAUCUGAUACCAUAUAGGAUUUAGAGAAUAAUGUCUUGAUUUUAUUCAUUUAGACCGCUAGGUACUUGUACAGUAAGAAUAGCUCUAGAUUAGGUAAUUACAUAGGUUCUACCUACCCUAUCAUAAUCCCACUAAUCUGGGAUUCUACUUACUAUAAUUAUAGGCAAAGAUUAGGCUAAUCUCUACAACUGACUAUCUAAUCAUAUUCUAAUCAUAAUUCUACAGAGUUAAUAUUCGAAUUUGACUUGUUUAAAAUCGAGACGAGUCACGAACGAAGUUUUAGUAAAUCGAACACUUAACUACUCACGAGCAGCUUGAUUCAGCUAAUUAUUUCUAAACUUGCAAAAGGCUAUUAUGAUGUUAGAUUUUUAAUAAGAAAAAAAAAGAGACGCGUGUUGAAUUGGAUGUUUAUAUAUAUAGUCCAC
rnacentral:lncRNA from 1 species